rnacentral:rRNA from 1 species
AUGAGUAGGGCGGGACACGUGGUAUCCUGUCUGAAUAUGGGGGGACCAUCCUCCAAGGCUAAAUACUCCUGACUGACCGAUAGUGAACCAGUACCGUGAGGGAAAGGCGAAAAGAACCCCGGCGAGGGGAGUGAAAAAGAACCUGAAACCGUGUACGUACAAGCAGUGGGAGCCCCACCACUAAGCCAGUGGUGAACUCCACAUCCGCAUCCUUUGCUGAGGAUACGGUUAACGGAGCGAAAGCGACGUUCAACCGCAAAACAAGCAGAGGGGGCUUAGUGGUGGGGUGACUGCGUACCUUUUGUAUAAUGGGUCAGCGACUUAUAUUCUGUAGCAAGGUUAACCGAAUAGGGGAGCCGGAGGGAAACCGAGUCUUAAUUGGGCGUUAAGUUGCAGGGUAUAGACCCGAAACCCGGUGAUCUAGCCAUGGGCAGGUUGAAGGUUGGGUAACACUAACUGGAGGACCGAACCGACUAAUGUUGAAAAAUUAGCGGAUGACCUGUGGCUGGGGGUGAAAGGCCAAUCAAACCGGGAGAUAGCUGGUUCUCCCCGAAAGCUAUUUAGGUAGCGCCUCGUGAAUUCAUCUCCGGGGGUAGAGCACUGUUUCGGCUAGGGGGCCAUCCCGGCUUACCAACCCGAUGCAAACUGCGAAUACCGGAGAAUGUUAUCACGGGAGACACACGGCGGGUGCUAACGUCCGUCGUGAAGAGGGAAACAACCCAGACCGCCAGCUAAGGUCCCAAAGUCAUGGUUAAGUGGGAAACGAUGUGGGAAGGCCCAGACAGCCAGGAUGUUGGCUUAGAAGCAGCCAUCAUUUAAAGAAAGCGUAAUAGCUCACUGGUCGAGUCGGCCUGCGCGGAAGAUGUAACGGGGCUAAACCAUGCACCGAAGCUGCGGCAGCGAACGUAUCACCCAAGACAACUUUACGGAGUUGACGAUUGACGGAGCGAAGCGACGUCAAAGCGUUCAUUAAAGUCGAGUUGGCUUAGGGAUACGUUCGUUGGGUAGGGGAGCGUUCUGUAAGCCUGUGAAGGUGUGUCGUGAGGCAUGCUGGAGGUAUCAGAAGUGCGAAUGCUGACAUAAGUAACGAUAAAGCGGGUGAAAAGCCCGCUCGCCGGAAGACCAAGGGUUCCUGUCCAACGUUAAUCGGGGCAGGGUGAGUCGACCCCUAAGGCGAGGCCGAAAGGCGUAGUCGAUGGGAAACGGGUUAAUAUUCCCGUACUUGGUGUUACUGCGAAGGGGGGACGGAGAAGGCUAUGUUGGCCGGGCGACGGUUGUCCCGGUUUAAGCGUGUAGGUGUGUGUUCCAGGUAAAUCCGGUUCACUUUAACACUGAGGCGUGACGACGAGGCACUACGGUGCUGAAGCAACAAAUGCCCUGCUUCCAGGAAAAGCCUCUAAGCAUCAGGUAACACGAAAUCGUACCCCAAACCGACA